rnacentral:rRNA from 1 species
AAAUUGAAGAGUUUGAUCAUGGCUCAGAUUGAACGCUGGCGGCAGGCCUAACACAUGCAAGUCGAGCGGAAACGAGUUAUCUGAACCUUCGGGGGACGAUAACGGCGUCGAGCGGCGGACGGGUGAGUAAUGCCUAGGAAAUUGCCCUGAUGUGGGGGAUAACCAUUGGAAACGAUGGCUAAUACCGCAUGAUGCCUACGGGCCAAAGAGGGGACCUUCGGGCCUCUCGCGUCAGGAUAUGCCUAGGUGGGAUUAGCUAGUUGGUGAGGUAAGGGCUCACCAAGGCGACGAUCCCUAGCUGGUCUGAGAGGAUGAUCAGCCACACUGGAACUGAGACACGGUCCAGACUCCUACGGGAGGCAGCAGUGGGGAAUAUUGCACAAUGGGCGCAAGCCUGAUGCAGCCAUGCCGCGUGUGUGAAGAAGGCCUUCGGGUUGUAAAGCACUUUCAGUCGUGAGGAAGGUAGUGUAGUUAAUAGCUGCAUUAUUUGACGUUAGCGACAGAAGAAGCACCGGCUAACUCCGUGCCAGCAGCCGCGGUAAUACGGAGGGUGCGAGCGUUAAUCGGAAUUACUGGGCGUAAAGCGCAUGCAGGUGGUUUGUUAAGUCAGAUGUGAAAGCCCGGGGCUCAACCUCGGAAUUGCAUUUGAAACUGGCAGACUAGAGUACUGUAGAGGGGGGUAGAAUUUCAGGUGUAGCGGUGAAAUGCGUAGAGAUCUGAAGGAAUACCGGUGGCGAAGGCGGCCCCCUGGACAGAUACUGACACUCAGAUGCGAAAGCGUGGGGAGCAAACAGGAUUAGAUACCCUGGUAGUCCACGCCGUAAACGAUGUCUACUUGGAGGUUGUGGCCUUGAGCCGUGGCUUUCGGAGCUAACGCGUUAAGUAGACCGCCUGGGGAGUACGGUCGCAAGAUUAAAACUCAAAUGAAUUGACGGGGCCCGCACAAGCGGUGGAGCAUGUGGUUUAAUUCGAUGCAACGCGAAGAACCUUACCUACUCUUGACAUCCAGAGAACUUUCCAGAGAUGGAUUGGUGCCUUCGGGAACUCUGAGACAGGUGCUGCAUGGCUGUCGUCAGCUCGUGUUGUGAAAUGUUGGGUUAAGUCCCGCAACGAGCGCAACCCUUAUCCUUGUUUGCCAGCGAGUAAUGUCGGGAACUCCAGGGAGACUGCCGGUGAUAAACCGGAGGAAGGUGGGGACGACGUCAAGUCAUCAUGGCCCUUACGAGUAGGGCUACACACGUGCUACAAUGGCGCAUACAGAGGGCAGCCAACUUGCGAAAGUGAGCGAAUCCCAAAAAGUGCGUCGUAGUCCGGAUUGGAGUCUGCAACUCGACUCCAUGAAGUCGGAAUCGCUAGUAAUCGUGGAUCAGAAUGCCACGGUGAAUACGUUCCCGGGCCUUGUACACACCGCCCGUCACACCAUGGGAGUGGGCUGCAAAAGAAGUAGGUAGUUUAACCUUCGGGGGGACGCUUACCACUUUGUGGUUCAUGACUGGGGUGAAGUCGUAACAAGGUAGCGCUAGGGGAACCUGGCGCUGGAUCACCUCCUUAAACGAUGAU